rnacentral:tRNA from 1 species
GCGGGAUGGAGCAGUCUGGUAGCUCGUCGGGCUCAUAACCCGAAGGACAGCCUUCCAAGCUGUUGUCGCGAGUCCGAUUCUCGUUACCCGCU